CACUCAAAAACGAAAAGGUCGGUUUUGGUGGUUGAAAUCUAUUGCACAUGAGAGUAGAGCCAUACCUUUUGAGAAUAACACUACAUUACGGCACAGAGGAUAAGGAAGGGCUAAUCCAGUGAAACAGUCUCAUAAACGAGCUAUUAAAAAGUUAAGAAGAAAAGAAUUUCAAAUGGGAACUACUAGAUCCCAAGGAGCUGGAGUUGUAGCAUCAAGGGUUGGGAUUGAAAAUGGUGGAGUUGGAUCAUCAUCUCAAUCAAAGCCAGUGAUUACUUGCUGAAAGUAUAUUCAUUUAUUUAUUUUGUUAUUUUCUUGCUUUUUUAUUUUAGUUAAAUAUUUACUUAUAUACUUGUUUGUUAUUUUGUUAUUCUAUAUAGGUCCCUUGGCGUUAUUUUUUUCUUAUUUUGGUCUGUAUCCACUAAAGAUAUAUGGAGUCAUUAUUGUUUUUUUGGUAUAACAGUACUACUCAAUUACAUUUUUUGAGAAUCAUCAUUUGGGUGGUAUCAUUGCACUUCUCAGAAUGCAUAAUAGAUCCUUCUAAAUUGCUUAUCUCAAUUUGGUUAGUUUUCAAAAGUAUUUCCUUACUAAUUUAUCACAUUACUAUAUUGUUGUCUAUUUAUUAAAGUUUUUUAUUGAAUUUUUUCUUGAC